rnacentral:tRNA from 1 species
GUUUCUAAAGGAUAACAGCUCAUCCAUUGGUCUUAGGAACCAAAAACUCUUGGUGCAA